GCGUGGUUUAGGCAUGCAAGUCGAACGCGAAAGUCCCCUUCGGGGGGCGAGUAGAGUGGCGAAAGGGUGAGUAAUGCAUAGAUGACGUGCCCUCGACUCGGGCAUAGCCCUCCGAAAGGAGGGAUAAUUCCCGAUGAUGUGUACGCACCAAAGAUGGGGAUCUUCGGACCUGUCGGUCGUGGAGCGGUCUAUGUCCUAUCAGCUAGUUGGUGAGGUAACGGCUCACCAAGGCGAUGACGGGUACGGGGCCUGAGAGGGUGUUCCCGCACACUGGGACUGAGACACUGCCCAGACUCCUACGGGAGGCUGCAGUCGAGAAUCUUCGGCAAUGGGCGAAAGCCUGACCGAGCGACGCCGCGUGGACGAUGAAGGCCUUCGGGUUGUAAAGUCCUUUCGACCGCUAGGAAUAAGUGUACGUUAAUAGCGUGCGCGAUGACCCGGCGGUGGAAGAAGCUCCGGCUAAACACGUGCCAGCAGCCGCGGUAAUACGUGUGGAGCAAGCGUUGUUCGGAAUUACUGGGCAUAAAGGGCACGUAGGCGGAAUGUCGUGUCUGGGGUGAAAUCCCCCGGCUUAACCGGGGAAUGGCCUCAGAAACUGGCAUUCUAGAGUGGAAAAGGGGAGAGUGGAACUUUGGGUGUAGCGGUGAAAUGCGUAGAUAUCCAAGGGAACGCCGGUGGCGAAAGCGACUCUCUGGUUUCCAACUGACGCUGAGGUGCGAAAGCGUGGGGAGCAAACAGGAUUAGAUACCCUGGUAGUCCACGCCGUAAACGAUGGGUACUAGGUAGGGGGGGUUCCUAAGCCUUCCCUGCUGGAGCCAAUGUAUUAAGUACCCCGCCUGGGGAGUACGGCCGCAAGGCUAAAACUCAAAGGAAUUGACGGAGGCCCGCACAAGCGGUGGAGUAUGUGGUUUAAUUCGAUGCAACGCGAAGAACCUUACCAGGGCUUGACAUGUCCGGAACCUUACCGAGGGGUGAGGGUGCCUUCGGGAGCCGGAAUACAGGUGGUGCAUGGCUGUCGUCAGCUCGUGUCGUGAGAUGUUGGGUUAAGUCCCGCAACGAGCGCAACCCACGUUCUUAGUUGCCAGCAUUGAGUUGGGCACUCUAGGGAGACUGCCGGUGACAAACCGGAGGAAGGUGUGGAUGACGUCAAGUCAGCAUGCCCCUCACGUCCUGGGCUACACACGUACUACAAUGCUGUGGACAAAGGGCAGCCAGCCAGCGAUGGUGAGCUAAUCCCAGAAACCACGGCUCAGUUCAGAUUGCAGGCUGCAACUCGCCUGCAUGAAGGAGGAAUCGCUAGUAAUCGCAGGUCAGCAUACUGCGGUGAUACGUUCCCGGGCCUUGUACACACCGCCCGUCACACCAUGGGAGUUGGUUUUGCCCGAAGUCGUUACUCCAACCUUAGGGAGGG
rnacentral:rRNA from 1 species